rnacentral:rRNA from 1 species
GAUGAACGCUAGCUACAGGCUUAACACAUGCAAGUCGAGGGGAAACGGCAUUGAGUGCUUGCACUCUUUGGACGUCGACCGGCGCACGGGUGAGUAACGCGUAUCCAACCUUCCCAUUACUGUGGGAUAACCUGCCGAAAGGCAGACUAAUACCGCAUAGUCUUCGAUGACGGCAUCAGAUUUGAAGUAAAGAUUUAUCGGUGAUGGAUGGGGAUGCGUCUGAUUAGCUUGUUGGCGGGGUAACGGCCCACCAAGGCGACGAUCAGUAGGGGUUCUGAGAGGAAGGUCCCCCACAUUGGAACUGAGACACGGUCCAAACUCCUACGGGAGGCAGCAGUGAGGAAUAUUGGUCAAUGGACGGAAGUCUGAACCAGCCAAGUAGCGUGCAGGAUGACGGCCCUAUGGGUUGUAAACUGCUUUUGUAUGGGGAUAAAGUUAGGGACGUGUCCCUAUUUGCAGGUACCAUACGAAUAAGGACCGGCUAAUUCCGUG